CCUACGGGGGGCAGCAGUGAGGAAUAUUGGUCAAUGGGCGAAAGCCUGAACCAGCCAAGUCGCGUGAGGGAGUACUGCCCUAUGGGUUGUAAACCUCUUUUGUCGGGGAGCAAAAGCCGGACGUGUCCGGCUGUGAGAGUACCCGAAGAAAAAGCAUCGGCUAACUCCGUGCCAGCAGCCGCGGUAAUACGGAGGAUGCGAGCGUUAUCCGGUUUUAUUGGGGUUAAAGGGGGCGGAGGCGGGUGUUUAAGUCAGCGGUCAAACCGUGGGGGUAACCCCCAGCCAGCCGUUGAAACUGGGGAUCUAGAGUGUGCGAGAGGUAUGCGGAAUGCGUGGUGUAGCGGUGAAAUGCAUAGAUAUCACGCAGAACCCCGAUUGCGAAGGCAGCAUACCGGUGCACAACUGACGCUCAGGCACGAAAGCGUGGGUAUCGAACAGGAUUAGAUACCCUUGUAGUC
rnacentral:rRNA from 1 species